rnacentral:misc_RNA from 1 species
UUUUCAGGAUUCAGAUUGGAUGACAUAUGGUAGGCAUGUCACAAGGUGACAUAGCUCAGAUCUCAGCCCUCCAAAACAAAUCCAACGGCUGAGAUUCGUCCACGUCAUCACGAGUUAAAAUUUAACUCGUAGGAGUAAAAAUUUUACUUGGAGUCAAAUUUUAUUGGAGUUAAAUUUUAACUCGUGAUGACGUGGACGAAUCUCAGCUGUUGGAUUUAUUUUGGAGGGCUGAGAUCUACGCUAUAUCACCUUUAACAUGCUUAUCCUAUGUCACCAUCUGAAUCCGCUUU